GGAAGCAGCUUGCUGCUUCGCUGACGAGUGGCGGACGGGUGAGUAAUGUCUGGGAAACUGCCUGAUGGAGGGGGAUAACUACUGGAAACGGUGGCUAAUACCGCAUAACGUCGCAAGACCAAAGAGGGGGACCUUCGGGCCUCUUGCCAUCAGAUGUGCCCAGAUGGGAUUAGCUUGUUGGUGAGGUAACGGCUCACCAAGGCGACGAUCCCUAGCUGGUCUGAGAGGAUGACCAGCCACACUGGAACUGAGACACGGUCCAGACUCCUACGGGAGGCAGCAGUGGGGAAUAUUGCACAAUGGGCGCAAGCCUGAUGCAGCCAUGCCGCGUGUAUGAAGAAGGCCUUCGGGUUGUAAAGUACUUUCAGCGGGGAGGAAGGUGUUGUGGUUAAUAACCGCAGCAAUUGACGUUACCCGCAGAAGAAGCACCGGCUAACUCCGUGCCAGCAGCCGCGGUAAUACGGAGGGUGCAAGCGUUAAUCGGAAUUACUGGGCGUAAAGCGCACGCAGGCGGUCUGUCAAGUCGGAUGUGAAAUCCCCGGGCUCAACCUGGGAACUGCAUUCGAAACUGGCAGGCUUGAGUCUUGUAGAGGGGGGUAGAAUUCCAGGUGUAGCGGUGAAAUGCGUAGAGAUCUGGAGGAAUACCGGUGGCGAAGGCGGCCCCCUGGACAAAGACUGACGCUCAGGUGCGAAAGCGUGGGGAGCAAACAGGAUUAGAUACCCUGGUAGUCCACGCCGUAAACGAUGUCUACUUGGAGGUUGUGCCCUUGAGGCGUGGCUUCCGGAGCUAACGCGUUAAGUAGACCGCCUGGGGAGUACGGCCGCAAGGUUAAAACUCAAAUGAAUUGACGGGGGCCCGCACAAGCGGUGGAGCAUGUGGUUUAAUUCGAUGCAACGCGAAGAACCUUACCUGGUCUUGACAUCCACAGAACUUUCCAGAGAUGGAUUGGUGCCUUCGGGAACUGUGAGACAGGUGCUGCAUGGCUGUCGUCAGCUCGUGUUGUGAAAUGUUGGGUUAAGUCCCGCAACGAGCGCAAC
rnacentral:rRNA from 1 species